rnacentral:rRNA from 1 species
ACGGGUGAGUAACACGUGGAUAAUCUACCCAUAAGUUCGGGAUAACAGUUGGAAACGACUGCUAAUACCGGAUACGAUCCAAUUUUAUCAUUGGGUGAAAGGCGGCCUCUGCUUGCAAGCUGUCGCUGAUGGAUGAGUCCGCGUCUCAUUAGGUAGACGGUGGGGUAACGGCCUACCGUGCCGACGAUGAGUAGCCGGCCUGAGAGGGUAAUCGGCCACACUGGGACUGGAACACGGCCCAG